rnacentral:lncRNA from 1 species
CCAAACUGCAACAGCCUGCUGAUCUCAUGGAGAGAAGGAAACAAAAGCCGUGCUUCCCGAGCCUCUCCUCUGUCAGAAGCACACACCAGAUUGGUGGUUCUCCUCACAUUGCUCCUGCUUGCUGUUCCUUGCUCUUGUAUUCUUUUCCUUCCCUAGCAAAUGUCCUGAUCCUCCCGUGUCACAGAAUACCCUGAGUUGGAAUCAUCCAUAAGGAUGAUUUAGACCAACUCCUGGCUCCACACAGGGCCACCUAAAACCCAAACCCUACAUCUGAGAACACUGCCCAAACGCUCCUUGAACUCCAGUGAGCUUGGUGCCACGACCACUUCCCUGGAGAGCCUGUUCCACUGCUUAACUAUCCUCUGGUGCAGAAUCUUUUCCUGACAUCCAGCCUGAACCCCCAUCACAGCUUCACACCGUUCCCUCAGAUUCUAUCACUUGUCACAAGAGAGAGGAUCAGCGCCUGCCCCUCCACUCCCCCUUGUGUCCCUGCUCUCAGGGCCAGACCCAAGAGCCGGACACACUGUUCUCCCUCUGCUCUCUUCUCUCAGCCCACUGCCCCGGGCAGGAGGCAGAGAAGCAGCAGGUGAGAAGGGCAACUGCAACAAGCUCAGUUUAUUGGACCUGCAAUCCUUUCAAACCUGAGGGGAGGUGGGCAAUGCGCCCUAACACAUCCCCUCCACAGUGAGGAUGUGAGGAGGCACAGAGAGGCCAUGCGGUGGGGAGGAAGGGCCAAUCCCUGCCUGCCACGUGAGAAGGGCAGCAGGACAGAAGGAACCUGGGUUUGUGUUGUCUGAGGCCACCACAGCGCUGCGGAGGCCAUGCUGGGGCGUUGCCCCAGAAGAAGACACAAGUGGAUGGUCCCCUCGUGGUGUGCCUAGAAAGCCACCAUGGUAUGCAGCCCCUAAUUCAAGAGCUUUAUUCCUGGAUUUUGGUGAGAAGCAGAACUUCGAGCUGAAGGGAGCCCUGGAAGCAUGAGGCGAGAAGGGACAGACACAACACCCAGCCCUGAGGGGCAAGCACCUGAGGUACAGGUGGGAAAGCCAGAGCGAGGCCAGAAGACGACGGGACAGCACAAACUGAGGAGAAAGUUGACGGCAAGAGGGACCGGGCUGGGCUCCCCGCUCCGCGUCCCCCCCCGGUCGGUGCCUGAGAACAUCGCAUCUGGACGCCGCGAUCAUUGUGCGAGCGGAGAUAAAGAGCGGAGCGGGGGCGGCCGCACCCCCCGCGCAGCGCCGCGCACCCGCAGAUUUAUUUUUUUCUCAAUAUUUUUAUUAUUAUUAUUAUUAUUUUCCCCUGGAACUUCUUCUAGUUGGGGAAGGAAAGGAAGAAAGGAAAUAAAUUUUGUGCAAGGAAAUACUCUCAGCUCCCUCCUUCCAGCGGGUCUCUCCUUUCUUUAUUUCUUCCCCCCUCCCCUCUUUUCUGCUUUUUUCCCCUCUUUCGGCGAUCCGCGCCCUCCCAGCCCCGAUCAAAGCAUUCCGCUAUUCUGAUUUAUUGCCUGCUCGGUGAGGCUGCUUUUUUUUUUUUUUUUUU